GUGUUUGGGUAAUCGCUGCACUGUUUCAGUGUAGAGGAAAGUCCAUGCUCGCACAAUCUGAGAUGAUUGUAGUGUUCGUGCCUGACGAAGUCAUAAGUCAGGGUAGUCUGGUUGCAGGCUAACGGCAGGAGACUUACCUACGUUUAGUUUCUAAAUAUGGUAAGUGUGCCUUGAAAGUGCCACAGUGACGUAGUCUGUCUGGAAACGGACAGAGUGGAACGAGGUAAACCCCGCGAGCGAGAAACCCAAAAUUUGGUAGGGGCACCCCUGAAAAGGAAAUGAACGGAUCAGGGGACAGAGAUAAUUCUGUAGACAGAUGAUUACCACUUUUGUACGAGGGAUGACGCCCGUUUGAAGUACGAAGGAACAGAACAUGGCUUACUAAA
rnacentral:RNase_P_RNA from 1 species